AGGAAAGCACUUGGGGCCCUUAAGGACACAACCACUGUUUCAUUGGCCAAAGUAAAUAGUGAUUACAAGGAAUUGGACAUUGCCAUAGUUAAGGCCACAAAUCAUGUUGAGCGACCUGCAAAGGAAAAACACAUUAGAGCUGUUUUUGCCGCUGUUUCAGCUACUAGGCCUCGAGCUGAUGUUGCUUAUUGCAUUCAUGCUCUUGCUAGAAGGUUAUCAAAAACACAUAACUGGGCGGUUGCAUUGAAAACUUUGAUUGUUAUUCACCGUGCUUUAAGAGAAGUGGACCCCACAUUUCAAGAGGAACUCAUUAAUUAUGGACGAAGCAGGAGUCAUAUGCUUAGCAUGUCUCAUUUCAAAGAUGAUUCCAGUCCAAAUGCAUGGGAUUAUUCUGCCUGGGUUCGCACCUAUGCCUUAUUUUUGGAGGAAAGGCUGGAAUGCUUCCGUGUUCUGAAGUAUGAUGUUGAGACGGAUCGACCUAGGACUAAAGAUCUGGAUACUGCUGAGUUGCUGGAGCAGCUGCCUGCUUUGCAACA
rnacentral:misc_RNA from 1 species